GACGAACGCUGGCGGCGCGCUUAACACAUGCAAGUCGAGCGGUAAGGGCCCUUUCGGGGGUACACGAGCGGCGAACGGGUGAGUAACACGUGGGUGACCUGCCCUCAGCUCUGGGAUAAGCCUGGGAAACCGGGUCGUAAUACUGGAUAUGACUCCAUGACGCAUGUUGUGGGGUGGAAAGCCUUGUGCGGCUGAGGAUGGGCCCGCGGCCUAUCAGCUUGUUGGUGGGGUGANGGCCUACCAAGGCGACGAC
rnacentral:rRNA from 1 species